AGGAUUAACGCUGGCGGCGUGCAUGAAACAUGCAAGUCGAGCGCGGUGUGAUGAGGGGUAACCCAAUUCACAUCUAGCGGCGAACGGGUGAGUAACACGUGAGCAACCUACCUUUGAGUUGGGGAUAGCCCUGGGAAACCAGGAUUAAUACCCGAUGUGGUCACAACAGGACAUCCUGAUGUGAGUAAAGGCGUAAGCCGCUCAAUGACGGGCUCGCGGCCUAUUAGCUUGUUGGUGGGGUAACGGCCUACCAAGGCGAUGAUGGGUAGCUGGUCUGAGAGGACGAUCAGCCACACUGGGACUGAGACACGGCCCAGACUCCUACGGGAGGCAGUAGUUAGGAAUUUUCCGCAAUGGGCGAAAGCCUGACGGAGCAACGCCGCGUGAGUGAUGAAGACCUUCGGGUUGUAAAGCUCUGUCGGAGGGGAAGAACACAAUGACGGUACCCUCCAAGAAACGCCCGGCUAACCUACGCGCCAGCAGCCGCGGU
rnacentral:rRNA from 1 species